rnacentral:rRNA from 1 species
CAAUCAUUUGCUCGGAAGCCUCUGCCUCUGCCUCCACCGGGUUCCGAUCUCCUCUCCUCGCUCUGAAACCCGAACCCCAACAGAGAUCGCCCCUGCCUCUCCCCCUCCUCCCCCUCCACCACCACCCUUUUGUCAACUUGUUAAACUGGCACACGACUUCGGCUUUUUGGAGAGGGGAGGCCACACAGAGACGGCAUACUGGAGAGGCGGGGCCGCCGCUUUUUGGGCUCCUCCCCAUUGGAGCGCACAAAGCCGGGCGGCACCAUUUAACACUACCACCUCCACCACCACCACGCGCACCGUCACGCACACGAAGCGCCGGGGAGUCGACACGCAGGAACCACACUGGACUUCGCCUUCCCCGGCCUGCUGCUCCCCCCGCUGCAUCCAGAUCGGACCCGUACCUAGAUUGUUAUCAGGAGUCUACACUUGGAAGAAUUAGUGGAGCAGUAGGCGAUAAACUUGCCCAGGGCGUGUCCAAAUGCAGUAAAACUUGAAACAAGAAGCUCUGAUCUGCUGCCGGCUUUCUGAAGUUGCUCUGGAGCUAGCAGUGCAUCCUUCCACGCUGGAAGUACCAGAUUCUGUUCUAGAGGAGUUGCUGGGCAUAGAGAUGGCAGACGAUCCUAAUCAAAACUUCGGGCCGUUUUCGCAGCCGUUCUGCAGCCAGAAUGUGGUUUCAUUUCAGACGAGCGCGACGCCUAGCGGGUCGGGAGGCAGCAUGCCGGUGUACCUAGACUGCUCCAGCAGCAUGGGUUCUAACAUGGGGAUGAUGAACACCACGCCUUCAGUAGCUGUCUCCACAAGUUCAUCCAACAUGGUUGCUGAAUCUGCGCAGAACCUCAAAUAUGGAGGACCCCUGGCUGAAAGCUGGUCGCAUCUCGAGAUCCAAGUGCUGAAAGAUUGCCUAGAUAGAUAUGUGAAUGAACAUGGUAUCAUGAAGUACAUAAAGAUAGCCGCUUCCCUACCAACCAAGACGGUGAGGGACGUUGCGAUGAGAUGCCAAUGGAUGGGGAACAAACAAACUACAAGACGGCGGAGGCCUGCAGAACAUCAUAGCAGAAAAAUGAAAGAUAGAAAGGAUAAAAUGGUGGGGCCUUCAUCCUGGGGUACCACUCAUCCUAUUCAGACGGAUACAGGGAUCUCUUCCUUUGUGCCGCAUCAUGCCAUUCAAAACAGUCAAUAUCUAUCUGGAGCCUCGGAGAUGGAUCGUAUAGUACAGCUUGUACUGGAAGAAAAUAAUCGGCUUCUUACUCAGAUAGACACAAAUAUUCAAGCAUUUCAGGCUCAAAAUAACAUCGAUCUCUUCAAUCGCGUGCGAAGGAACAUUGAUGGCCUCUUGAAAAUCAUGAGCCAAAUGCCGGGAAAAAUGAGUCAGAUGCCUCAGUUGGGAGUUGCGGUGAAUGAAAACCUUGCCAGUUACUUGCUCCCAGAUCUUACAAUGGCACAAGUUCUUGGAAAUAGCCAUUUGAAGGAGGAGCCAAGAGGAUGGUGAGUCGCAGCCAAAGCAGGUCACAGAUGAGGAAGAUACUGAAACUUCAUCGGUAGUUCGGCGAGUUAUAGGAAGAUAAAUACUGCUUCAGCAUGUACACCAGAUGGCGACGAAUAGAGUCACCAAGGAACCUUGUUUCCUCUAUCUGGAAGCAAAGGAGAGGCGAGUGGUGACUGAGGAACCACUCUGCAUUGC